GCCGGGUUAGCUCAGAGGUAGAGCAACCGCCUUGUAAGCGGUAGGUCGUCGGUUCAAUUCCGACACCCGGCACCA
rnacentral:tRNA from 1 species